ACCUACGGGAGGCAGCAGUAGGGAAUCUUCCACAAUGGGCGUAAGCCUGAUGGAGCAACGCCGCGUGGGUGAAGAAGGUCUUCGGAUCGUAAAACCCUGUUGUUAGAGAAGAAAGUGCGUGAGAGUAACUGUUCACGUUUCGACGGUAUCUAACCAGAAAGCCACGGCUAACUACGUGCCAGCAGCCGCGGUAAUACGUAGGUGGCAAGCGUUAUCCGGAUUUAUUGGGCGUAAAGGGAACGCAGGUGGUCUUUUAAGUCUGAUGUGAAAGCCUUCGGCUUAACCGGAGUAGUGCAUUGGAAACU
rnacentral:rRNA from 1 species